rnacentral:rRNA from 1 species
AUUGAACGCUGGCGGAAUGCUUUACACAUGCCAGUCGAACGGCAGCACGGGGGCAGCCCUGGUGGCGAGUGGCGAACGGGUGAGUAGUACAUCGGAACGUGCCCGGUCGUGGGGGAUAACGUAGCGAAAGUUACGCUAAUACCGCAUACGAUCUGAGGAUGAAAGCGGGGGACCUUCGGGCCUCGCGCGAUCGGAGCGGCCGAUGUCAGAUUAGGUAGUUGGUGGGGUAAAGGCCUACCAAGCCGACGAUCUGUAGCUGGUCUGAGAGGACGACCAGCCACACUGGGACUGAGACACGGCCCAGACUCCUACGGGAGGCAGCAGUGGGGAAUUUUGGACAAUGGGCGCAAGCCUGAUCCAGCCAUUCCGCGUGCAGGACGAAGGCCUUCGGGUCGUAAACUGCUUUUGUACGGAACGAAAAGGCUCUGGCUAAUACCUGGGGCUCAUGACGGUACCGUAAGAAUAAGCACCGGCUAACUACGUG